AUUCAUCUCUGUGCCAAGUGUGAACCCUUAGAACAAGCAAAAGAUACCCUGUGGCCAUCAAAGGAAGUCUCAGCUAAGUCUGCUCCCAAGACUAUCUCAAAAUCCUUCAUCAGGUAGCAGGCUAAAUGGAAGGGCUCUGAGGCCCCAGGCAGGGUCCUCUCACCACAGAGAACCAGCUCUUAGUUCAAGCUUCCAAGGGGA
rnacentral:lncRNA from 1 species